CUCCAACCAAUCAGCACAUCCGUGACAACACCAAGGUACUCUCCAACCAAUCAGCACAUCUGUGACACCACCACAGGUACUCUCCAACCAAUCAGGACAUAUGUGACACCACCACAGGUACUCUCCAACCAAUCAGCAUAUCUGUGACACCACCACAGUACUCUCCAACCAAUCAGCACGUCUGUGACACCACCACAGUACUCUCCAACCAAUCAGCACGUCUGUGACACCACCACAGGUACUCGCCAAGCAAUCAGCACGUCUGUGACACCACCACAGGUACUCUCCAACCAAUCAGCACGUCUGUGACACCACCAC